CACAGCCGGGGUAGGUGCGGUAGUGCGGCGUCUGAUGCGCGCAGAGAGACGACAUUCACAAGGCUGGACGGACACGCAUCACAGAAACCGGAAUGCACACAAAAUGAUGCGUCUACGAGCCGUGACAAGCUGCUUCUAGUGAAGAAAACAGAGAAACAGCAAACGCGACCACCGGAAGCUCCCCUGUCCAGAUUGAAGCGCUCGCGCAGGCAGUGCAUUUGCCGCAGGAAUCAUCCCGCCGAUGCGCUUCAGCUGUGCAUGAAUCCCUCCGUUUGGUUUGCAGGUCCAGGACUAAACCGGGCGGCGUUGACGACUGUGUGUGGUGGAUACCGAUUGUGAGUGCACCUUAUCUGCGUCUCCGCAUACCCCUUUGGCACUUCCUCCAGGAUGGCGUUAACGAUCUGCACGAGAUUUACCGACGAAUAUCAGCUGUUUGAAGAGCUGGGAAAGGGUGCAUUCUCUGUGGUCAGGAGGUGUGUGAAGAUCUCCUCUGGACAGGAAUAUGCUGCCAAAAUCAUCAACACCAAGAAGCUUUCCGCCAGAGAUCACCAAAAGUUGGAGAGAGAGGCGAGGAUUUGUCGUUUACUGAAGCACCCCAACAUUGUACGACUCCAUGACAGCAUAUCAGAGGAGGGUUUCCACUAUCUGGUGUUUGAUCUAGUGACAGGAGGAGAGCUUUUUGAGGACAUCGUAGCCAGGGAGUACUACAGUGAGGCUGAUGCCAGCCACUGCAUACAGCAGAUCCUCGAGAGUGUCCAUCACUGCCAUGUUAACGGGAUUGUCCACAGGGAUCUGAAGCCUGAGAACCUUCUAUUGGCCAGUAAGCUGAAGGGGGCGGCGGUCAAGUUGGCUGACUUUGGGCUUGCUAUCGAGGUGCAGGGGGACCAGCAGGCAUGGUUUGGUUUUGCCGGCACUCCGGGUUACUUGUCUCCAGAAGUUUUGAGGAAAGACCCAUACGGGAAGCCAGUGGACAUGUGGGCCUGUGGUGUGAUUUUAUACAUCCUUCUGGUGGGAUACCCUCCCUUCUGGGAUGAGGACCAGCACCGCCUUUAUCAACAAAUCAAGGCUGGGGCCUAUGAUUUCCCGUCUCCAGAGUGGGACACUGUUACUCCUGAGGCCAAAGAUCUGAUCAACAAGAUGCUGACCAUCAACCCCAGUAAACGCAUCACUGCCGCUGAGGCGCUUAAACAUCCUUGGAUCUGCCAACGGUCCACUGUAGCUUCCAUGAUGCACAGGCAGGAGACUGUGGAGUGCCUGAAGAAAUUCAAUGCCAGGAGGAAACUGAAGGGAGCCAUAUUGACCACUUUGCUGGUCACAAGAAACUUCUCAGCAGCCAAGAGUUUGCUCAACAAGAAACAAGACGGUGUUAAGGUCAACAACAAAGCCAACAUAGUGACCAGUCCUAAAGACACUGGCCCUGCCCCUGCACUGGAACCACAGACAACUGUGAUCCAUAACCCAGUGGAUGGAAAUAAGGAAUCUAUUGAGAGUGCCAACACCACCAUAGAGGACGAGGAUGUGAAAGCCUGCACCAAUAACAAUAAAGCCCGCAAACAGGAAAUUAUCAAAGUCACUGAACAGUUGAUUGAGUCUAUCAACAAUGGAGACUUUGAGUCCUAUGCCAAGAUUUGUGAUCCUGGUCUAACUUCCUUUGAGCCUGAGGCCCUUGGAAACCUGGUGGAAGGACACGACUUCCAUCGCUUUUACUUUGAAAAUGCCCUAUCCAAAGGGAAUAAACCAGUGCACACCAUCCUCCUGAACCCACAUGUGCACCUCAUUGGUGAGAAUGCAGCGUGUAUUGCCUAUAUCCGACUCACCCAGUACAUGGAUGGCGGCGGCAUGCCUCGCACCAUGCAGUCUGAGGAGACCCGUGUGUGGCACCGCCGAGAGGGCAAGUGGCAGAACAUCCACUUCCACCGCUCCGGCUCUCCCAGCAUCCCUUCCCAAUCUAAUAUGGAAAAAAUCCAGUGAAGAUUUGAGUGGGGGUCUAAGAAAAAUCUGGUUAAGAAUUGCAGGCUCGUCAGCCUGCAUGAAGGUAUUGCACAGCAGCUGUUGUUUAACUCUCAGCAAUCAUGGAUUUUCUAAAUUCCUAGGGUUACAACUUAGACACAAUUAAUGGAAUAUCAACAUGUUGAAAAAACAAAAAGAAAAAAAAAAAUCCCAUCAGCAAAUCUAGCGGGGCAGUCAACUAGCCAACCCAUGACUCCCCGUGUGAUCUUUGACCCUCCUAUAAGGACAUGACAUCGCACAGGACAAGUAUCAAUAUGUUUUACUGUUAUGGCAUUUUAUUAAUGGACAUCAUUCGAAACCACCGCCGGGUGGCUGCACACAGUAUUUGGACAUUAUGAAACAAGCAUAUUGACAACAUAUUUUUUGUUUGUUUUUUAAGAUGUUUUGGUAUGCAUUUUAAAUAUAAAAUAGAGAUGUUUAAAAAUCUACUACUGUAACCUCUCCCAAAAAUUAGUUCUGUAUUUUUAUGUGUAUUUCUGUGUGUGCAAUACAAAAAAAAAAACCUUUGGAAGAUCAGAAUGUUAAAAUUAAGCUUGCUUUAGUUCUGGUGAUGUAUAUACAUUGUGAUUGUUGAUAAAAACAAAAACAAACAUUGAAAUUGCUAUUCUUGCUAACAGAGGAAUUAAGAGUUUAAGUAAAAUCCAGUUUAUGAGCUACAUUUAUGUUUGCUAUGAGCUAAAUCAUACUGUUUGAACCGUACAAUUUCAACCUAUAAUACUAAUUUAAAUGUAAAGAAAAGCAGAGCAGCUUACACUUUGCAUUGAGAUAUGUUUGCCUUUAUAUCAGUGAAUUAAGAAAUAAGAGAAUGUAGCAUAUAUGUAAUAUAUGAAAAUCCAAGACUAUUGUGUAGUGCAUGGGGGGAUUAUUGUAAGUAAGAUCAUAUGAAACUAUAAUAUCUUAUGUUUGAUUUGUGAAUCACUGACUUGUUUGUUUGCAUUCGUUAAUGUUGUGCAUCAGUCCUGUCCCAAAUGUUUCUAAUGUCCUCCAGUAUCAUGGAACUGUUGUGAAAACAAUAACAUACUUAUGGUUAACAUCCAGCUUAAAUAUCAGAACCUCAUAUCUUAGAAGAGGAAAAAUAAACUCCUGGUUGCCGAAGCACCCCUUGCAUUUUUUAUAAAAAUGAGAAGCAAAGAAGCUCAUUUUUCAUAAUGUUUGUACUUGUAUUGUAGGACUGUAUGUAGGGUUUCUGUUGUCAUUUUAUUCCUGUCAUUUCCAGUGUGUUACUUCGCCAAUUGCACAGAAAAGGUGGAGAUGAUGAAGAUGGAGCAAAAGCACUACAGUGUCUACUUAGGAGGUGUUAACCUGGCGGUCUGGAAGCGUUGUGAAAGCGUUGGAUUGAAGAGUGUUGCAGUCAGAUGGAGGAUGGUGUGACAGCAGCAAAGAAGAGUUGGACUGCAGAAAAAGUUGGGAUGUCUUCCUUGACCAUCAGUGCUUCUAACAGCCAGUGGUCUUUGAACCGCUGCAGGACAAUGCCAGUGUCUUUGUCAUCCUUACUGUUUGCUCUUUUCAAUUGGUUGGUCUCUUUUUUAAGGGAAAAAUAUGAUUAACAUUUCUUUUGACGAAACGUAUGAUGUCAAUGCAAUGCACCACUCCUUACAUGGUGUGUACCCGUUGCCAGCACGGCGAUGGAUGGCUUAACAUGUUUAUGAAAUAAAUAAAUCAGCUCAAAGGUG